ACUCACCAGAGAAGUCAAGAAAACAUGUCUAUCGAUGUGCUCCUAUUCACUCCAUUUCCUUUAGAUCUAAAAGCUUCAGAGUAGACAGCACUCCAGGUCCUGCCAGAUAUACAAUCCCUAAGAUGUUGGGCCCCAACACAGUGGACAAAACAGCUAGUCCUUGCUAUUCCAUGAAAUGGAAAAGUAACAUAGGUUAUUUUUAUGAGGAUCGCCAUAAGACACCAGGUCCUGCUGCAUAUAAUAGGCCAAAGCUUGAUGCAUACAAACACAGAGCACCUGAGUACAGUAUGAGCUCACCAAGUAGGCCUCCAGGAGAUAGAACUUUGCAUCCUGGACCUGCAGCCUACAAUAUAGG